rnacentral:rRNA from 1 species
CCUUUUCUACGGAAUAGCCUCUGGAAACGGAGAGUAAUACCGUAUGAGCCCUUCGGGGGAAAGAUUUAUCGGGAAAGGAUUAGCCCGCGUUAGAUUAGGUAGUUGGUGGGGUAAUGGCCUACCAAGCCUACGAUCUAUAGCUGGUUUUAGAGGAUGAUCAGCAACACUGGGACUGAGACNCGGNCCAGACUCCUACGGGAGGCAGCAGUGGGGAAUCUUGNANAAUGGGGGCAACCCUGAUCCAGCCAUGCCGCGUGAGNGAUGANNGCCUUAGGGUCGUAAAGCUCUUUCGCCUGUGANGANNNUGACGGUAGCAGGUAAA